rnacentral:rRNA from 1 species
AUUGAACGCUGGCGGCAUGCUUUAUACAUGCAAGUCGGACGGCAGCGCGGGCUUCGGCCUGGCGGCGAGUGGCGAACGGGUGAGUAAUACAUCGGAACGUGCCCAGUAGUGGGGGAUAGCUCGGCGAAAGCCGGAUUAAUACCGCAUACGACCUGAGGGUGAAAGCGGGGGACUUUAGGGCCUCGCGCUAUUGGAGCGGCCGAUGGCAGAUUAGCUAGUUGGUGGGGUAAAGGCCUACCAAGGCGACGAUCUGUAGCUGGUCUGAGAGGACGACCAGCCACACUGGGACUGAGACACGGCCCAGACUCCUACGGGAGGCAGCAGUGGGGAAUUUUGGACAAUGGGCGCAAGCCUGAUCCAGCAAUGCCGCGUGUGUGAUGAAGGCCUUCGGGUUGUAAAGCACUUUUGGCAGGAACGAAAAGUGCCGUGCUAAUACCACGGUACGAUGACGGUACCUGCAGAAUAAGCACCGGCUAACUACGUG